rnacentral:rRNA from 1 species
AUACGUAGGGAGCGAGCGUUGUCCGGAAUUACUGGGUGUAAAGGGAGCGUAGGCGGGAGUGCAAGUCAGAUGUGAAAUACAUGGGCUCAACCCAUGGGCUGCAUUUGAAACUGCAUUUCUUGAGUGAAGUAGAGGUAAGCGGAAUUCCUGGUGUAGCGGUGAAAUGCGUAGAUAUCAGGAGGAACACCGGUGGCGAAGGCGGCUUACUGGGCUUUUACUGACGCUGAGGCUCGAAAGCGUGGGGAGCAAACAGGAUUAGAUACCCUGGUAGUCCACGCUGUAAACGAUGAUUACUAGGUGUGGGGGGACUGACCCCUUCCGUGCCGCAGUUAACACAAUAAGUAAUCCACCUGGGGAGUACGGCCGCAAGGUUGAAACUCAAAUGAAUUGGCGGG